rnacentral:rRNA from 1 species
UCGGAGUUGAUCCUGCCGGACCUGACUGCUAUCGGAUUGAUACUAAGCCAUGCCAGUCGUUGUAGCAAUACAAGGCGUACGGCUCAGUAACACGUAGUCAAUCUAACCUAUGGACGGGGAUAACCUCGAGUCACUGAGGAUAAAACCCGAUAGAUCAUAAUUCCUGGAACGGUUUAUGGUCCAAACGAUUCGUUGCCGUAGGAUGGGACUGCGGCCUAUCAGCUUGUUGGUGCAUUAAUGGCCCACCAAGGCUAUUACAGGUACGGGCUCUGAGAGGAGAAGCCCGGAGAUGGGUACUGAGACACGGACCCAGGCCCUAUGGGGCGCAGCAGGCGAGAAAACUUUGCUUCGUGCGCAAGCACGACAAGGUUAAUCCGAGUGUUUCCUGCUUAAGGAAUCUUUUGUUAGUUGUAAAACCACUAUCGAAUAAGGGGUGGGCAAGUUCUGGUGUCAGCCGCCGCGGUAAAACCAGCACCUCAAGUGGUCAGGAGGAUUAUUGGGCCUAAAGCAUCCGUAGCCUGUUCUAUAAGUUUCCGGUUAAAUCCAUUAGCUCAACUAAUGGGCCGCCGAAAAUAAGCCAGAACUAGGGAGUGGGAGAGGUAGACGGUAUUCGGUAGGAAGGGGUAAAAUCCUUUGAUCUAUUGAGGACCACCUGUGGCGAAGGCGGUCUACCAGAACACGUUCGACGGUGAGGGAUGACCGCUGGGGGAGCAGACCGGAUUAGAUACCCUCGUAGUCCCAGCUGUAAACGAUGCAGACUCGGUGAUGCGCUGGCUUGUGGCCAGUAAAGUGCCGCAGGGAAGCCGUUAAGUGGGCCGCCUGGGAAGUACGUACGCAAGUAAGCUUG